rnacentral:rRNA from 1 species
CGUGGGAACGUGCCUUUAGGUUCGGAAUAGCUCCUGGAAACGGGUGGUAAUGCCGAAUGUGCCCUUCGGGGGAAAGAUUUAUCGCCUUUAGAGCGGCCCGCGUCUGAUUAGCUAGUUGGUGAGGUAAAGGCUCACCAAGGCUACGAUCAGUAGCUGGUCUGAGAGGAUGACCAGCCACAUUGGGACUGAGACACGGCCCAAACUCCUACGGGAGGCAGCAGUGGGGAAUCUUGCGCAAUGGGCGAAAGCCUGACGCAGCCAUGCCGCGUGAAUGAUGAAGGUCUUAGGAUUGUAAAAUUCUUUCAGUAGGGACGAUAAUGACGGUACCUACAGAAGAAGCCCCGGCUAACUUCGUGCCAGCAGCCGCGGUAAUACGAAGGGGGCUAGCGUUGCUCGGAAUUACUGGGCGUAAAGGGAGCGUAGGCGGACAUUUAAGUCAGGGGUGAAAUCCCAGAGCUCAACUCUGGAACUGCCUUUGAUACUGGAUGUCUUGAGUGUGAUAGAGGUAUGUGGAACUCCGAGUGUAGAGGUGAAAUUCGUAGAUAUUCGGAAGAACACCAGUGGCGAAGGCGACAUACUGGAUCAUUACUGACGCUGAGGCUCGAAAGCGUGGGGAGCAAACAGGAUUAGAUACCCUGGUAGUCCACGCCGUAAACGAUGAUUGCUAGUUGUCGGGUUGUUUACAACUCGGUGACGCAG